CAUGCACCAGUGGGGUCCCUCAGCCUGGCCUGUGGGGAUCGGGCUGAAACGGACUCUCUGACAUCCCCUGAGGGGUUCUGGAUUGCGAGAGGGCACAGGCCAGGCUGAGGGACCCCAUUGGUGCACA
rfam:Myotis davidii contig77134, whole genome shotgun sequence.